rnacentral:lncRNA from 1 species
AGGUGAGGAAGGGUGAUGGUUUGGAGUAAGUUGCAGGUAACAGCUGUUUGCCACGGUCCUCGCAGCCUCUGGAGAUCUGGACAGGGCCCCAGCAGCACUGUGACAGGGCUGUCGGGAGGACUAAUAAGACCCUGCCAGUGGAGGACUCCAGGCGUGCCUGGCACAGAGCCAGCACUCCUAUUCACGCUGGGUCUUGUCACGCCCAGGGUCUCUGGCAUCAGCAUGGACGUGGCUGUGCCCGAGGAAACCGGCCAGGACCCCGCGCUGGAAGUGGAACAGUGCUCCUGCCCACCCGGGUACCGUGGGCCGUCCUGCCAGGACUGUGACACAGGCUACACACGCACGCCCAGUGGCCUCUACCUGGGUACCUGUGAACGCUGCAGCUGCCAUGGCCACUCAGAGGCCUGCGAGCCAGAAACAGGUGCCUGCCAGGGCUGCCAGCAUCACACGGAGGGCCCUCGGUGUGAGCAGUGCCAGCCAGGAUACUA